rnacentral:rRNA from 4 species
CGAAUGCUGACAUAAGUAACGAUAAAGCGGGUGAAAAGCCCGCUCGCCGGAAGACCAAGGGUUCCUGUCCAACGUUAAUCGGGGCAGGGUGAGUCGACCCCUAAGGCGAGGCCGAAAGGCGUAGUCGAUGGGAAACAGGUUAAUAUUCCUGUACUUGGUGUUACUGCGAAGGGGGGACGGAGAAGGCUAUGUUGGCCGGGCGACGGUUGUCCCGGUUUAAGCGUGUAGGCUGGUUUUCCAGGCAAAUCCGGAAAAUCAAGGCUGAGGCGUGAUGACGAGGCACUACGGUGCUGAAGCAACAAAUGCCCUGCUUCCAGGAAAAGCCUCUAAGCAUCAGGUAACAUCAAAUCGUACCCCAAACCGACACAGGUGGU